AGUGAACGCUGGCGGUAGGCCUAACACAUGCAAGUCGAACGGCAGCACAGUAAGAGCUUGCUCUUACGGGUGGCGAGUGGCGGACGGGUGAGGAAUACAUCGGAAUCUACUUUUUCGUGGGGGAUAACGUAGGGAAACUUACGCUAAUACCGCAUACGACCUACGGGUGAAAGCAGGGGAUCUUCGGACCUUGCGCGAUUGAAUGAGCCGAGGUCGGAUUAGCUAGUUGGCGGGGUAAAGGCCCACCAAGGCGACGAUCCGUAGCUGGUCUGAGAGGAUGAUCAGCCACACUGGAACUGAGACACGGUCCAGACUCCUACGGGAGGCAGCAGUGGGGAAUAUUGGACAAUGGGCGCAAGCCUGAUCCAGCCAUACCGCGUGGGUGAAGAUGGCCUUCGGGUUGUAAAGCCCCUUUGUUGGGAAAGAAAAGCAGCAGGUUAAUACCCCGCUGUUCUGACGGUACCCAAAGAAUAAGCACCGGCUAACUUCGUG
rnacentral:rRNA from 1 species